rnacentral:rRNA from 1 species
CCUACGGGGGGCUGCAGUAAGGAAUAUUGGACAAUGGACGCAAGUCUGAUCCAGCCAUCCCGCGUGGAGGAAUAAUGCCCUAUGGGUUGUAAACUCCUUUAGCUGGGGAAUAAAAGACCGAUUUAUCGGGAAUUGAAGGUACCCAGAGAAUAAGCACCGGCUAACUCCGUGCCAGCAGCCGCGGUAAUACGGAGGGUGCAAGCGUUAUCCGGAUUUACUGGGUUUAAAGGGUGCGUAGGUGGCCUGAUAAGUCAGUGGUGAAAUCUCUCGGCUUAACCGAGUGGCUGCCAUUGAUACUGUUGGGCUUGAAUACGGUUGAAGUAGGCGGAAUAAAUCAUGUAGAGGUGAAAUUCUUAGAUAUGAUUUAGAACACCGAUUGCGAAGGCAGCUUACUAAACCGCAAUUGACACUGAGGCACGAAAGCGUGGGGAUCAAACAGGAUUAGAUACCCGAGUAGUC